rnacentral:rRNA from 1 species
UACAGAGGUCUCAAGCGUUGUUCGGAUUCAUUGGGCGUAAAGGGUGCGUAGGCGGCGCGGUAAGUCGGGUGUGAAAUCUCGGAGCUUAACUCCGAAACUGCAUUCGAUACUGCCGUACUUGAGGACUGGAGAGGAGACUGGAAUUUACGGUGUAGCGGUGAAAUGCGUAGAUAUCGUAAGGAAGACCAGUGGCGAAGGCGGGUCUCUGGACAGUUCCUGACGCUGAGGUGCGAAAGCGUGGGGAGCAAACAGG